GUGCCAGCCGCCGCGGUAAUACGUAGGUGGCAAGCGUUAUCCGGAAUUAUUGGGCGUAAAGCGCGCGUAGGCGGUUUUUAAGUCUGAUGUGAAAGCCCACGGCUCAACCGUGGAGGGUCAUUGGAAACUGGAAAACUUGAGUGCAGAAGAGGAAAGUGGAACUCCAUGUGUAGCGGUGAAAUGCGCAGAGAUAUGGAGGAACACCAGUGGCGAAGGCGACUUUCUGGUCUGUAACUGACGCUGAUGUGCGAAAGCGUGGGGAUCAGACAGGAUUAGAUA
rnacentral:rRNA from 1 species